GACGAACGCUGGCGGCGUGCUUAACACAUGCAAGUCGAACGGAAAGGCCCUGCUUUUGUGGGGUGCUCGAGUGGCGAACGGGUGAGUAACACGUGAGUAACCUGCCCUUGACUUUGGGAUAACUUCAGGAAACUGGGGCUAAUACCGGAUAGGAGCUCCUGCUGCAUGGUGGGGGUUGGAAAGUUUCGGCGGUUGGGGAUGGACUCGCGGCUUAUCAGCUUGUUGGUGGGGUUGUGGCUUACCAAGGCUUUGACGGGUAGCCGGCCUGAGAGGGUGACCGGCCACAUUGGGACUGAGAUACGGCCCAGACUCCUACGGGAGGCAGCAGUGGGGAAUAUUGCACAAUGGGCGGAAGCCUGAUGCAGCAACGCCGCGUGCGGGAUGACGGCCUUCGGGUUGUAAACCACUUUCGCCUGUGACGAAGCGUGAGUGACGGUAAUGGGUAAAGAAGCACCGGCUAACUACGUG
rnacentral:rRNA from 1 species